GGAUGUGAGGGCCAUCUGGCUGCAACAUCUGUCACCCAUUGAUUGUGGGGGUUGAUUCGGCUGAUCUGGCUGGCUAGUCGGGUGUCCCCUUCCUCCCUCACCGCUCCAUGUGCGUCCCUCCAGAAGCUGCGUGCUCGGUCAAAGAGGACGGCCUUUCCUGAAUAGAGACGGACUGGUCUUCGGUUGAGGGCAUACGAGUAGCUGCGCUCCCCCGCUAGAACCCCCAAACAAGCUCUCUUUUUCUCUAUCUCUCUAUCUAAAAAAAAAAGUAGUCCACCAGAAAUGGUGGAAUUGUGCAAUUAUAAAAUCCCAGCAAAAAUUCUAAUGGCAAAUAAAAUGAGUACAUAUGCCAAUGA
rnacentral:snRNA from 1 species